rnacentral:rRNA from 1 species
GACGAACGCUGGCGGCACGCCUAACACAUGCAAGUCGAGCGAGAAUUAUCUUUAUGAUCCUUCGGGUGAAUAAAGAUGAGGAAAGCGGCGGACGGGUGAGUAACGCGUGGGAAACCUGCCCUAUGCAGGGGGAUAGCCUCGGGAAACCGGGAUUAAUACCCCAUAAAACUCUAGCACCGCAUGGUACAUGAGUCAAAGUUCAGGCGGCAUAGGAUGGUCCCGCGUCCCAUUAGCUAGUUGGUGAGGUAAAAGCUCACCAAGGCGACGAUGGGUAGCCGGCCUGAGAGGGUGAACGGCCACACUGGAACUGAGACACGGUCCAGACUCCUACGGGAGGCAGCAGUGGGGAAUAUUGCACAAUGGGCGAAAGCCUGAUGCAGCGAUGCCGCGUGAGCGAUGAAGGCCUUCGGGUCGUAAAGCUCUGUCCUUAAGGAAGAAUAAUGACGGUACUUAAGGAGGAAGCACCGGCUAACUACGUGCCAGCAGCCGCCGUAACAC